UGGGGGAUAUUGCACAAUGGGCGAAAGCCUGAUGCAGCGACGCCGCGUGGGGGAUGAAGGCCUUCGGGUUGUAAACUUCUUUUGCUCUGAACAAGGCAUGCCUUUGGGGUGUGUUGAGUGUAGGGGUUGAUUAGCGCCGGCUAACUACGUGCCAGCAGCCGCGGUAAUACGUAGGGCGCGAGCGUUGUCCGGAAUUACUGGGCGUAAAGGGCUUGUAGGUGGCUGGUUGCGUCUGUCGUGAAAGCUCAUGGCUUAACUGUGGGUUUGCGGUGGGUACGGGCUGGCUUGAGUGCAGUAGGGGAGGCUGGAAUUCCUGGUGUAGCGGUGGAAUGCGCAGAUAUCAGGAGGAAUACCGGUGGCGAAGGCGGGUCUCUGGGCUGUUACUGACGCUGAGGAGCGAAAGCGUGGGGAGCGAACAGG
rnacentral:rRNA from 1 species